rnacentral:rRNA from 1 species
AUACGGAGGAUCCGAGCGUUAUCCGGAUUUAUUGGGUUUAAAGGGCGCGCAGGCGGCCAUUUAAGUCAGCGGUUAAAUCGUGGGGCUCAACCCCAUUCUGCCGUUGAUACUGGGUGGCUUGAUUGCGGUCGAGGUUGGCGGAAUUCGUUGUGUAGGGGUGAAAUGCAUAGAUAUGACGAAGAACACCGAUUGCGUAGGCAGCUGACCAGACCGCAAAUGACGCUCAUGCACGAAAGUGCGGGGAUCGAACAGGAUUAGAUACCCUGGUAGUCCGCACAGUAAACGAUGAAUACUUGUUUUCGGCGAUAUAAUGUCGGAGGCAAAGCGAAAGCGAUAAGUAUUCCACCUGGGGAGUACGCCGGCAACGGUGAAACUCAAAUGAAUUGACGGGG